rnacentral:ncRNA from 1 species
GUCAGACAAAGGCAAACCUGCUGAAAAGCAGGGACGCAAAGUCACGGGUCUAAGGUUGCCGUAUUGAGGCAAUGAUGAUCGCCGGACUGCCUGA